rnacentral:tRNA from 1 species
GUUGUAUUGUGUUUGGGCUGCUUUAGUUUAUUUUAAAAUGUGUAAUUUGUAAUUAUAAGAAUCUUGGUAGC